AACAGGGGAUGCACAACCUAAAACACUGUAUCCGUGUAAAGAGUGUUUGUCAUUCAGCAGGAUAACAUCCAUUGUGAGGUUGUGCCUUUGGCAACAAACAGUAGAGAUAGACACACCACCGUCGGUAUUUCUGGAUGCAGAAGAAUUUCGAGAUUCUUUGGGUGCGGCAAUAAGGAGUCCGCGAGUGCUCGACCCAAGAAGGAUCGCUCUCACGGGAAGGUGAUUCUCUGACUUUUAUCAUUUAUGGGGGAAUAGAAUAGUAACAAGAUCAUGUCGUUGGUGAAACAUGUACAUCAUGAUCCCGCCACCCAAGCUGAUCUCACACAACAGAAUACAAGUGGAACCUAAUUGGCCUAGAUCUCAGAUCUCGCUUUCUACAAGUCGUCCAGGCUACAUAUAUUCAAGCGGACGGCUAUAUUCCACAGGCGGCCGAGCGGACAGAAUGCAACACCCAUGAAUGGCACACGAUUGAUGUUAGGUGACGCGGAAUACAAAAAUGACACCACUGUGCAAUUGCAUAUUCGGAACUCUACAUAUCGCCUGGGCCUCGAGGGUAAGAAGAGAGGGACACACGUUGGAUGUUUGUUAAGAUUUGGGUUAUCCUUCGGCCAUAGGACCCCACCGGGGCUCCGGUGACGCCUGGGACGGCAAUGGCUGUGUUUUUCUGCCAUUGUUUAUCUCGUAAUCCUGAAGAAACUGGCGGCAGCCGAUUGUCACUUCUCCAGUCCGGCUGUGCUCUCCGACUUGUGUACCUUUUCUCCAGGAUAGCGUCAUUCGGCAGCUGUGUCAAAGACGGCAUAUCUUAUCUCGUAGCCAGGCUUUUAUCCAUGGGAUUCUUGCGCAGCGGAGGAGCCAAAUGGCACAACUUGCGGAAACUAUUCCGAUGCUUUCCGUUGCGUCCGUUUGGCGUUCGUUUGGCUUGGUGGUUCCUGUGCCACAUGGUUCUAUUUCUCUCCACAGCAUUUCUCUAGAAUGCGUGGUCCCGUUGGGAAUACUGCUUGUUUGGCCUGGCGCUUACAGCAUCUACAGCCUAGCCGAACUUAUCAAAUAUGAUCCUCUAAAACGUGUACGAAGAGUGUCCUUUAUCUAUCCUUUAUAUGCCCGUUCGUGCAGCUACAUUUCUUAUUUUUCCUCUCAUAUGUAUGAUCACCUAUAUGUUAUUGAUGAAGAUAAAGAGAAAAAAAUGAAUAUAAAAAAAGAAAAGGUGAUCCGGAAUAGGGUCGUGUCGUACGUGGCGGAUCGACUGGGCGCGUCCGGGCACAUCCGCUAGUCCCCAUAUUCUUCCUAUAUUUGUCCUCAAUAUGAGAGUUUGCACAGUCCGGUCGUAUAAGGAUGAUAUGAGGGGUCCGGUUGGAUCACUUUUGCCCCUCUCUCAUGUCCGCUCAUUAACAGGACGCGCUCGUGGACGCAUGAGAGGUCGUUUGAGGCGUCCGGUUGUAGAUGCUCUCAGCCAAACUCCAAUUUAUUUUCUUGGUGGAACUAUCCAUUGUGACUUGCGACUAAAUGUGCGCAUGGGCAAUCCGGCCAAAAAACUCGGCCUCGGUCGGGUCUGGCUUAGACUCCGGGCCGGGCUUGGGCCUAAAUUACACACAAUACGACAUUUUCGGGCCGGGCGCGGGCUUUGAAUUCUAGCCCGAAAUUAACCCGCCCCGGGCCGACUAUGUGUGAAAUGGGGAGGUAGGACGACAUCCAGCAGCCCACCACAAUGAUCUACGAGUCUUCCCUCCCCUCCAGAGCCCCCCCCCCCCUCGGCACGAAGAAUGGGAUAAGUUAGACACCGUUGAUAGUCUUUUGAAAACUUUCUACAAUGUCACAUUGAUUUUUAUCUCACAAAAUGUCCCACUUCCAUCUGUACUUCAAGUGUGUUUUCAUGGUGCAUACACGCUUGUUGGAGGCAUGUGUUGUUGGGAAGGAGUUCAUGGCUCCCAUGUUUGAUAUGAAAGAGAAGUUUGGUAAGUAUUGGUUUGAUUAUAAUGUGUUCAUAUCUUGUGAUGUUGUUGUAAGAGCACAAUUUAUCCCAAGUAGUUUUGGUGGUUGAUGACGAUACCCCUUGUGGACUAAUCGUGUGCAUUAAGCUUUCAGAGAAUUAUCAGGUGACACAAGACGGUUAUUUCCCCCUCAGUGAGUGAAAGUGAAGACGAUGCUUAGCUAUCGAUUUAGGGUUGGUGGGCUUGCGUCAUAGGUAAUCCCGUACUAUCAAGAGGGGAUCCACGUUUGGAAAGGUUGGGUGGAACAAACUCUCACACACUUGCACCCCAUCUGUUUCCUGUGCAACACAACUUUCCUAAAAGUGCCCAGAAGUAGCAUAAGCGAAAGUACCGCUCUAUGGAGCGGUAGUACCACUCUAGCGGUAUUGUCGUCCACUAGUGUCAGUCCCUCUUCCACUUAUUAUUUUCUUCUGGCAUCCGAGGGAGCUUUUUUAAUUUUCGAGCGGAAGUACCACUCUAGGGGAGCGGUAGUACCGCUCCAACGGCACUGCCUCCCUCCCCUACUGUUCCCACUCCCGCUUAAAUAUUUCUUCUGGCUUCCUUAUUCCCCUUCGACAAAACUAUGAGGAAGUACCGCUUUGGGGGGAGCGGUACUACAGCUCUGGCGGCACUGCCUCCCUCCCCUACCGUUCCCACUUCCGCUUAAAUAUUUCUUCUGGCUUCCUUAUUCCCCUUCGACAAAACUACGAGGAAGUACCGCUUUGGGGGGAGCGGUAGUACCACUCUGGCGGAACUACCGCCCCUCUGGCUGUGACAUGUCGCGUGUGUUGGACGGUACUUCCGUGCAAGCGGAAGUACCACCCACCUGGACAGUACUACCGCUUAGUUGAGCUAGUGGGCUGAAUAACGGUCAGUCCACAUAAAACCCCUUCCCUUGAUACUGAUGCAUACUUAGCAUAGUUCUAAUGUCAGUCUUGCGAGUACUUUGGAUGAGUACUCACCGUUGCUUUGCUCCCCCUUUUCCCCUUGAUACAUUACUGCGACCAGGUGAUGGAGCCCAGGACAUGGCGUAUUCCGCCGACGAUUAGUGCUAGCCCGACGGUGCCUACUACUACGUGAAGGCCGCUGACGACCAGGAGUAAUUAGGUGGUUCCCAGGCAGGAGGCCUCACCUCGUUCGAUCGUUGUAUCUUUGUGCUAGCCUUCUCUAAGGCACCUCAUGUUUUAUGUCUAUACUCAGAUAUUUGUUGCUUCCGCUGACUCGUAUGUUUACCGAGCUUCCGUAUUCUAGCCCUCGAGGCCCG
rnacentral:lncRNA from 1 species